rnacentral:rRNA from 1 species
AUUGAACGCUGGCGGCAGGCUUAACACAUGCAAGUCGAGCGAGCGGCGGACGGGUGAGUAAUGUCUGGGAAACUGCCUGAUGGAGGGGGAUAACUACUGGAAACGGUAGCUAAUACCGCAUACCAUCAGAUGUGCCCAGAUGGGAUUAGCUAGUAGGUGGGGUAAUGGCUGACCUAGGGGACGAUCCCUAGCUGGUCUGAGAGGAUGACGAGCCACGAUGGAACGGAGACACGGUCCAGACGGCUACGGGAGGCAGCAGUGGUGAAUAUUGCACGAUGGGCGCAAGCCUGAUGCAGCCAGGCCGCGUGUGUGAAGAAGGCCUUCGGGUUGUAAAGCACUUUCAGCGAGGAGGCGUUACUCGCAGAAGAAGCACCGGCUAACUCCGUGCCAGCAGCCGCGGUAAUUC